rnacentral:misc_RNA from 1 species
UCCUGGUUGGCCCAGGCAGUAUCGCGUGAGAAAUACAACACACGAUAAGGGUUUCGCUCGUUACCGGACUUAACCGAACAUCUCACGACACGAGCUGAGGACGGCCAUGCAACACCUGUCACUAGGUUCCCGAAGGCACAGCCCUAUUUCUAGGGCCUUCCUAGGAUGUCAAACCUUGGUAAGGUUCUUCGCGUAGCAUCGAAUUAAACCACAUGCUCCACUGCUUGUGCGGGUCCCCGUCAAUUCCUUUGAGUUUUAGCCUUGCGGCCGUACUCCCCAGGCGGGAUGCUUAACGCGUUAGCUUCGCAACGCAAAGGGUCGAUACUUCACACUACUAGCAUCCAUCGUUUACGGCGUGGACUAC